rnacentral:tRNA from 2 species
GGCGGGAUAGCUCAGUUGGUUAGAGCGUCGGAUUCAUAACCCGGAGGUCUCGAGUUCAAUUCUCGAUCCCGCU